rnacentral:rRNA from 1 species
GUAGGUGGCAAGCGUUGUCCGGAAUUAUUGGGCGUAAAGCGCGCGCAGGCGGUCCUUUAAGUCUGAUGUGAAAGCCCACGGCUCAACCGUGGAGGGUCAUUGGAAACUGGGGGACUUGAGUACAGAAGAGGAAAGCGGAAUUCCAAGUGUAGCGGUGAAAUGCGUAGAGAUUUGGAGGAACACCAGUGGCGAAGGCGGCUUUCUGGUCUGCAACUGACGCUGAGGCGCGAAAGCGUGGGGAGCAAACAGGGAUUAGAUACCCUGGUAGUCCACGCCGUAAACGAUGAGUGCUAAGUGUUAGGGGGGUUUCCGCCCCCUUAGUGCUGCAGCUAACGCAUUAAGCACUCCGCCUGGGGAUACGGCCGCAAGGCUG